rfam:Bacteroidales bacterium CF, complete genome.
CGUAUUGUGGAGGGAUUUGACUGCUUGCAACCACUUGAAAAAAUGCUAAAAUAGAGUCU